ACAUCUGCAACGAUGCUGCCGGCAGAGCUGCGGUGCAGAGCUGGAGUUUUUUGCAUCAUCACAGCCACGUCGUGAGUGCUCGCUUGAGGGCGCGAACCGAACGGGGCUCAUUCUC
rnacentral:RNase_MRP_RNA from 10 species